rnacentral:rRNA from 1 species
CCUACGGGAGGCAGCAGUGAGGAAUAUUGGUCAAUGGCCGAGAGUCUGAACCAGCCAAGUCGCGUGAGGGAAGACGGCCCUACGGGUUGUAAACCUCUUUUGGCUGGGAGCAAAGAGAGUCACGUGUGACUCAUUUUGUGUAUCCGAAGAAAAAGCAUCGGCUAGCUCGGCGUCAGCAGCCGCGGUAAUAUGGAGGAUGCGAGCGUUAUCCGGAUUUAUUGGGGUUAAAGGGUGCGCAGGCGGAGGUGCUAGUCAGCGGUCAAAUUGCGGGGCUCAACCCCGUACUGCCGUUGAAACUGCAUCCCUUGAGUGCGCGAGGAGUAUGCGGAAUGCGUGGUGUAGCGGUGAAAUGCAUAGAUAUCACGAAGAACUCCGAUGGCGAAGGCAGCAUACCGGCGCGCAACUGACGCUCAUGCACGAAAGCGUGGGUAUCGAACAGGAUUAGAUACCCGAGUAGUC